rnacentral:rRNA from 1 species
UACAGAGGGUGCGAGCGUUAAUCGGAAUGACUGGGCGUAAAGGGCGCGUAGGUGGUUUGUUAAGAUUGAUGUGAAAUCCCUGGGCUUAACCUAGGAACUGCAUCGAUGACUGAUGAGCUUGAGUAUUGUAGAGGGUAGUGGAAUUUCCGGUGUAGCGGUGAAAUGCGUAGAGAUCGGAAGGAACACCAGUGGCGAAGGCGGCUACCUGGACAAAUACUGACACUGAGGCGCGAAAGCGUGGGGAGCAAACAGG